rnacentral:rRNA from 1 species
GACGAACGCUGGCGGCGUGGAUUAGGCAUGCAAGUCGAACGGUAUCAUCCUUUCGGGGAUGAGAGAGUGGCGAACGGGUGAGUAACACGUAGGUGAUCUACCCUCAAGACGGGGACAACCCAGGGAAACUUGGGCUAAUACCGGAUGUGAGCUAUCGCGAGAUAGUUUGAAAGGUGGCUUCGGCUGCCGCUUGAGGAUGAGCCUGCGUCCUAUUAGCUAGUUGGUGAGGUAACGGCUCACCGAGGCGAUGAUAGGUAGGCGGCCUUAACGGGUGGUCGCCCACACUGGGAUUGAGAUACGGCCCAGACUCCUACGGGAGGCAGCAGUCGAGAAUAGUCUACAAUGGUCGAAAGACUGAUAGUGCGACGCCGCGUGAACGAAGAAGCCCUUCGGGGUGUAAAGUUCUUUUAUAUGUGAGCAGUGCUUUCUAUGUGAACAGCAUGGGGAGAGAGAUAUUAGCAUAUGAAUAAGCAACGGCUAACUCCGUG